GACGGACGCUGGCGGCGUGCCUAACACAUGCAAGUGGAGCGACGAACCAGGGCUUGCCCUGGGGCCAAGCCGCGAACGGGUGAGUAACACGUGGGUAACCUGCCCCGAUGACCGGGACAACCGACGGAAACUACGGGCGUAAUACCGGAUGUGGUGGACACACUUAAGUGUGUCCACUAAAGGAAGCUUCGGCCUCCGCAUUGGGAUGGGCCCGGCGGCCCACUUAGCUAGUUGGUGGGGUAAAGGCCUACCAAGGCAACGAUGGGUAGCUGGUCUGAGAGGACGAUCAGCCACACUGGGACUGAGACA
rnacentral:rRNA from 1 species